rnacentral:misc_RNA from 1 species
AACCAUAGAAACCUGCGGAGUACCUGCGGAAGGAUCAUUACAAGAAUCGAGGCUGACGGUGCCUACUCCCUAGGCUCCGUCCAGUCCCGCUCUCUACCUUGCCUACUGCACCGUUUGUCGCUUCCUGGCGGCGUCCCGUCGCCAGGGCCUUUUGAAAGCCAAGUAUAAGCAUUGAAACUUCUGACAUACACUAAAUCGUACAACUUUUAGCAAUGGAUCU